rnacentral:rRNA from 1 species
CAUUAUUGAUUGCGAAUCGUUGUCUUCAGUGCUGGCCAGCUCUGGCAAGUGCACGUUGGCGGCUUUUCAUCCAAUACCCCUGUGAACCUUUGGCCUCUUGCUAGCUUUGGCUGGCAGAGGAUUUUUACACCCACUCGAAUGUAAUGAAAUUAUUGUUGUGCGCAAGCACUGCUGUACAACUUUCAACAACGGAUCUCUUGGCUCUCGCAUCGAUGAAGAACGCAGCGAAAUGCGAUAAGUAAUGUGAAUUGCAGAAUUCAGUGAAUCAUCGAAUCUUUGAACGCACCUUGCACCCUUUGGCAUUCCGAAGGGUAUGCUCGUUUGAGUGUCAUUGUACUCUCACACUUCUGAUCCUUUUGGAUUGGGAGCGGUGGACUUGGGUGUUGCUGCUUUACUGCGGCUCACCUCAAAUGCAUUAGUGCAACUCUUGGUUGGACAUAGUACGGCGUGAUAAGUAUCUUCGCCGGCACCUCGCAAGAGGGUGGCUGAUCAGGAGCUCUGUGCUCUCCAACUGUCUUCGGACAACAACUGACAACUUGACCUCAAAUCGAGUAGGACCACCCGCUGAAC